rnacentral:rRNA from 1 species
AUUGAACGCUGGCGGCAUGCCUUACACAUGCAAGUCGAACGGUAACGCGGGGCAACCUGGCGACGAGUGGCGAACGGGUGAGUAAUAUAUCGGAACGUGCCCAGUCGUGGGGGAUAACGUAGAGAAAUUUACGAUAAUACCGCAUACGAUCUAUGGAUGAAAGCGGGGGAUCGCAAGACCUCGCGCGAUUGGAGCGGCUGAUAUCAGAUUAGGUUGUUGGUGGGGUAAAAGCCCACCAAGCCGACGAUCUGUAGCUGGUUUGAGAGAACGACCAGCCAGACUAGGACUGCGACACGGCCCAGACUCCUACGGGAGGCAGCAGUUGGGAAUUUUGAACAAUGGGCGCAAGCCUGAUCCAGCAAUGCCGCGUGCAGGAAGAAGGCCUUCGGGUUGUAAACUGCUUUUGUACGGAACGAAACAGCUCUUUCUAAUAAAGAGGGCUAAUGACGGUACCGUAAGAAUAAGCACCGGCUAACUACGUGCCAGCAGCCGCAGUAA